GACAAACGCUGGCGGCGUACGUAAGACAUGCAAGUCGGACGGGUGCACCCACUUCGGUGGGUGUGCGAGUGGCGGACGGGUGAGUAACGCGUAGGAACCUGACGCGCAGUGGGGGAUAACGCUGGGAAACUGGCGCUAAGACCGCAUGUGGUCUCCUCUCGUUAGUGAGAGGAGAAGAAAGCCGAUGAGGCGCUGUGCGAGGGGCCUGCGUCCGAUUAGCUGGUUGGUGGGGUAAAGGCCUACCAAGGCGACGAUCGGUAGCUGGUCUGAGAGGAUG
rnacentral:rRNA from 1 species